GAGAUUCUCUGGCGGACUAAGGCUCAUCACAUCACAGGAUCUCCACAGCCCACCUCUGGUUCAGCUUUCUUUCAUCAAAUGUGUUGAGGAUGACCUGGUUCUUGUCAUACUGGUGUCCACCUAGGAAAAUAAAACACAACGAAGGAUCAGCUCGGGUUUGAGGUGGCAGUGCACCAGACCAUCCGGGGUGAUGUUCCACAGCUGGAUGUCUUUGCCUCGCUCUGGGGAGACACAAAGCCGGCUGCCUGCCAUCACCACGCUGCCUGCUGUCUCCAGGCAACAGUCCUCCAGCAGCUGGACAAAGGGACGACACAGAGAUGAGCAUUUAUUAGCGACCCUGUUCCUGUCAUUGUGAGAGUGAAGCGCUGCCUUUGAACAGGCACCAGCGUGAGAAGUUUUCGGGUCGAGUACCUUGCAGGCUUUAAGUUCUCCUGCUCUUACCUGGAGUAAUGGCCGUAGGGAUCCCAGCCACUGCCAGUCGCUGUGCUUACACAAGUCAUCCACUUCACCUGGCUGGAGGAGCAGCUGUCGACCUCUGUAGUUACUGCCUUCAUACAACACCCACCUGCAGAGAAGACAGUUGCCAAGGGGGCUCAGAGAUUUGCCUGAAGAUUGAAAACUGCUGUCGUAACAUCUCACAAAAUCGCAAAUGAGCACUGUUUCCCGGCAGUUAAGAUGUGCUUACCUUCCAGCCAGAACCUUACAGGACCUGGCAGUGAAGUCCUCAUCCAGAGCUGCUAUUGUGUCAUCCAGAGCUACCAGCCUUCCCUGAAA